ensembl:Mt_tRNA
GGCCCUGUAGUGAAAUUCACGACGAACUGCAAACUCGUAGAUGUACUUUAAAUUGUACCUGGGUUU